UACGAAGGGAGCUAGCGUUACUCGGAAUUAUUGGGCGUAAAGCGUGCGUAGGCGGCUUAGUAAGUUGGGAGUGAAAUCCUUGGGCUCAACCCAAGAAUUGCUUUCAAAACUACUAGGCUUGAGUAUCAAAGAGGGUAGCGGAAUUCCUAGUGUAGAGGUGAAAUUCGUAGAGAUUAGGAGGAACAUCAGUGGCGAAAGCGGCUACCUGGUUGAUAACUGACGCUGUUGCACGAAAGCGUGGGGAGCAAACAGG
rnacentral:rRNA from 1 species